rnacentral:rRNA from 1 species
AGAGUUUGAUCCUGGCUCAGGAUGAACGCUGGCGGUGCGCCUAACACAUGCAAGUCGAACGAAGGAUUGUGAAGGAACUUUACGGAGGGAAAACACAAUGACUGAGUGGCGGACGGGUGAGUAACGCGUAGGGAACCUGGCCCUUACAGGGGGAUAACAGAUGGAAACAACUGCUAAUACCGCAUAAGCGCCCAGCCUCGCAUGAGGCAGAGUGAAAAACUAAGGUGGUAAGGGAUGGCCCUGCGUCCGAUUAGCUAGUUGGUAUGGUAACGGCAUACCAAGGCGACGAUCGGUAGCCGGCCUGAGAGGGUGGACGGCCACAUUGGGACUGAGACACGGCCCAAACUCCUACGGGAGGCAGCAGUGGGGGAUAUUGCACAAUGGGGGAAACCCUGAUGCAGCGACACCGCGUGGGUGAAGAAGCGCUUCGGCGUGUAAAGCCCUAUCAGUGGGGAAGAAAAAGGACGGUACCCAAAGAAGAAGCACCGGCUAAAUACGUGCCAGCAGCCGCGGUAAUACGUAUGGUGCAAGCGUUAUCCGGAAUGACUGGGUGUAAAGGGAGCGUAGACGGUUGUACAAGUCUGAUGUGAAAGCCCACGGCUCAACUGUGGGAGUGCAUUGGAAACUGUAGAACUAGAGUAUCGGAGAGGCAAGUGGAAUUCCUAGUGUAGCGGUGAAAUGCGUAGAUAUUAGGAGGAACACCAGUGGCGAAGGCGGCUUGCUGGACGAAAACUGACGUUGAGGCUCGAAAGCGUGGGGAGCAAACAGGAUUAGAUACCCUGGUAGUCCACGCUGUAAACGAUGAAUACUAGGUGUUGGGGCCCGAAGGGCGUCGGUGCCGUCGCAAACGCAGUAAGUAUUCCACCUGGGGAGUACGUUCGCAAGAAUGAAACUCAAAGGAAUUGACGGGGGCCCGCACAAGCGGAGGAACAUGUGGUUUAAUUCGAUGAUACGCGAGGAACCUUACCCGGGCUCAAACGUAGCAGGACGUGCGCCGAAAAGCGCAUUUCACUUGUGACCUGUUACGAGGUGCUGCAUGGUUGUCGUCAGCUCGUGCCGUGAGGUGUCGGCUUAAGUGCCAUAACGAGCGCAACCCCUGCCGCCAGUUGCUAACGCGAAAAGGCGAGGACUCUGGCGGGACUGCCGGCGCAAGCCGUGAGGAAGGCGGGGAUGACGUCAAAUCAGCACGGCCCUUACGUCCGGGGCGACACACGUGUUACAAUGGCCGGUACAGCGGGAAGCCAGGCGGCGACGCCGAGCGGAACCCGAAAACCGGUCUCAGUUCGGAUCGGAGUCUGCAACCCGACUCCGUGAAGCUGGAUUCGCUAGUAAUCGCGCAUCAGCCAUGGCGCGGUGAAUCCCUUCAGGGGCCUUGCACACACCGCCCGUCA